rnacentral:snoRNA from 1 species
ACUGAGGCCUAUCCCGACAGACUCCUCACAGUGAGCCCUAGUUGUUGGAAAUGCCUCAAAGAACAAACAUGUGCUUUACCCUCACAGCUACUGCCAUUAGCCCUGUGGGAUAUCACUGCAGAACAAAU